rnacentral:rRNA from 1 species
UACGUAGGGUGCAAGCGUUAUCCGGAAUUAUUGGGCGUAAAGAGCUCGUAGGCGGUCUGUCGCGUCGAAUGUGAAAACCCGGGACUCAACUCCGGGCCUGCAUUCGAUACGGGCAGACUAGAGUUCGGUAGGGGAGACUGGAAUUCCUGGUGUAGCGGUGAAAUGCGCAGAUAUCAGGAGGAACACCGGUGGCGAAGGCGGGUCUCUGGGCCGAUACUGACGCUGAGGAGCGAAAGCGUGGGGAGCAAACAGG